CAUGUUGUAAUAACGUAUUCUAUGAUUUGGAUAUUUAAACAUUUUUACAUCAUACCUAGAAAGUGUUGUAUACUUUCUAAAGCUUAUAAACUGACAAAUCCAGAUAUCUGAAGAAUCCUAAUAUAGAAUCCUAAGUUAUAAUUCAUCCAAAAUUGUGUAGUUCUUAAAUUUCAAAUCUAAAUCCGUGGAUAUCUAUCUUUAGUGACAUUUAGAUUUUAUUCAUUAAAGUCAUUGUAGCUAUUGUAAAUUUUACUUCAUUAUGUCUUAUCACUUGUCUCUCUUGCUUUUCAAAAGAUUUCUUCCAAUUUAUUCAGUCUUAUUUGUUCCCGAAGACAAAAGACUUGAUUUUAGUUUGUUUUUCUUAAAAUUAGUAUCUUCUCCAAUUUAUUUCCCAGUUUUUUCUAAAUAAAUACUUUAAAAAUAUAUAGAAAGGAUUAUUUUUAUAGUAUCUCAGAAUUAGUAAAAUAAAAUCUUGCCAAUCCAAACAAUUUGUGAUUUUAGACAUUAUAUUGUCAGAUUGAAGUAAAAUAAAGAUGAUUUUGUUGCUACAUAUCAUGAGUCUAACAAAUAUUCAGGUCAUACAUUCCUCUGGAUCAAAACUGCUUUAUUGAGCUUUAUAAAGCAGUCACAUCAGAGAUAUUUUCACAUUCACAGUUUGUUUUUAAAAGUGAUAGACAAGGUUUUUCUAUGGUGUUUUGUGCAAUUAGAACACUCAAUGGAUUUUAGUGUGGACUAGGAAGGCUACAUUUUACAGCUAGCCAGCCAGUCAGAACGCUACAAAUAUGAAAACAAACUUGAAAAGAUUUUAUCAUUGAGUCUGUAUCAUAAAAUCAGAGAAGAGGCAUAUUAAAAGAAUACUUAUAUUUGACAAUUUAAUAUGUCAAACAAAUCAUAACAAAAUAAGUGAUUAUAUUAAAUGGAAUGACCUACUUAUAGUGGGCCAAGAUUGUACCAGUGUACUCUAGCCUGGGUGACAGAGCAAGACUCUGUCUCAAAAAAAAAAAAA